AUGUACGUGGAUGCGUGGAAAACCAACAUCCCAGAAUUCAAGAAUCCCUUUGCUCCAUCGAGGAUACCAUCACAGCGGAUCCGUUCGCCGCCGCUGAUCCCUUCGCCGACGCCGAUCUCGUUGCUACGUCGACGGCAACCAUUUGACGCCGCCGAACCCCUUGCCAUCGAGUGUCUCCUCCAUUAUGAGUGCAAGCAACAGGAGGUGUCCUCUUGGCACAACGACGUCAACUGGUCACUCCUUCAUCGACAGGUUCUUGCGCUUGGUGGAUUACUUCCACGGUUCCACAGUGGGAGGGGACACUCAAGCUACGGUUCAGGCAAUGUCUCCACCCACUCGCAAGUUCAACUACAUUGGCUGAGUGCAAGCAGGAUCUGUAGUAAUACUGAGUACUUACAAACUCAGAAAGCUCUGUCUACAUCUGCACAAGGUAGAAUCACAAUGAACUUGGCCCUUGAUUAUUUUUGUCAUGAGUUGUAUUUCAGUCGAUUGACCUGUGGUCGGAAGUGUGCCUUGUAUACCACACCUUUGAAACUUUGUUAG
rnacentral:rRNA from 1 species